UUAAGAGAGCAAGGUAGUGGAAUAAAGGAAUAAAGAAAAAAGAGAAAGAAAAGGAGAAGGAAAGUGGGGCCGGGAGGCAGAGGAAGCUAAAAUUGUCGAUGAGGUGGGGAGUGAUUAUCGGAUGAAUGCACAAAUGGGAAGCAGAAUUUGACAAGGAAAAGACUUAUCAUCAUAACAUGUGAUUUUAUGCAGGUUUUUGGUAAAAGAGAGAGAUAUCAAAACUGCGGGGCGUGCGGUCCCCACUCAGCCUCAGCCUCAGCCUCAGAUCUAUCUGUCCUACUCCCACUUGGAUCUUUAUGGACCUCCGGAUCUCUCUACUAAUUUGGACCCUCACAGUCACUGACUUCGGCCUAUCAGUUCUCUUAGGUAAUUACCCAUCGCUGAAUUGUCCAAAAUCCCUCUCACACUAUCUAUAGCCCGAAGUCCACGUUUCUUUUGUAUGUAAAAUUCUCAAUUCUCUAUAAGAUCCAUUUGGGCUUUUAGACCGUUCUUAAACCCAUAUUGCAGUUACUGGACUGAGCCGAAGCUCCAAUCUAUACCAACAAUGUCGUUUAAUGUCCUUUCCAGUUUCCAUGACCAGGUACGAGUUCCAAUUAACUCCCACGACACGCGCUGACAGCUUCACUACCGCAUCCGCCACCACUGCGAGUACUACCACUGGCCACCUCUUGAUCUUCCACACCAUGUUCUUUUACUUCAUUCUAUUUUCCUCUCAUACCUGUCCGCUUCGUUUCUCCUCGUCCUCCAACUCUCCUCAUUACUUCCGCUUUUCCUUUCCCCUCUCCUUUUUCUGCCUCCUCCUCGACCUCUCCUUCAUCGGCAUAAUCGACAUCAUCUAUCGCCGCCCCCAUGCUCCCUACAAUCCUAGCAUGUUGCCUCCGUUGCCGCUAACGGAGUGGAGGGCGGGUGGUGGAUUUGUUCACCGGUUGAUUAAGCGGACGACACCAAAGUCGUGGGGACUGUGGUGUUGGUGGUUUGUGUAUGGGCUGCAAUGACAGCAGUUUCUCGGUUUUGCUCGGUAGGCAUUUCCUUCUCGACGUUUCGGCUGGGGGCGUGUUUGAGCGUCUUUGAAGGUAUACUUCCGUUUCAAUUCAUGCGAUUUGUGAAACUUUUUAGGUAAAUGAAACAGCGAAUAGUGCCUGAAGCAAGAAUUCGAGUUUUGCAAUUGCAUUUAUCAAUAUUGGAUAUCUGGUGUUUUAGGCAGCUUAAUAAAUCCGGGUUCCUGUGUGUUUUAAGUGUACAAAAUUUUAUAGUAGCGACUGCAACAAUCAAUCAUACAGCCUACAUUUAUGACCACUGCUGUGAAAUGGCUUCAACUAUUUGCAUUCGAUGACUUGCAAGCUCAUUAUAUUAGAGUUGCCCAGCCCAUAUGGAGUUUGGAGGAUUGGAGUUUCUUACUUUAAAAAAUAUAAUUAUGGUAACCUUCUUUAUGCAAAAUAAAAUUUCUGGAUAAAGGAACAUGAUGAAGGGGUGUGAAGGUCUGUCGUUAUGUUUGCUCAUGGAUGAGGAAUCAUCGUCAUUUCGUUGAAUGGGCCUCUGGUUUAAGAGUUCAGUUAGAGUUUUUUGUCAAUUUAAGAUAUUUGAAGUUCAAAUUUUAAACAAGCGUGUUUCGAAUCACUUAAUUUAAUAAACAUAAAAUGUAUAGAAAGGUGCUCUAAUGCACAUAGAUAUACCCGUUAUCAUUUUAAUAUGCGGCCAAUUACGAAGAUUUUUUUUUUUAAUAAAAAAAAUACAUUUUAAAGGGUAAAUCUGAAGGGUCAGGUAAAAACUAAAAAGUUCUUCUAUUCUUCGAUUGCCCUGAACCUCGCUGAGUAUUACAAAAGAUGCCAACUGAAAUGCUCAGGGCCUUUUCCCACAACUUUGGAAAGGGGGGAAGUGUAUCUGCCUCUAUCCUAUGUAUGUCCAUCUUCAGUAAAUCUAUUCAUCGUUAGAUGUUCUAAUUUUUUCCCCUUUUUCAGUGGGUUUAUGAUGAUGGGUAGCAAUUCCUCUGGGUAUAGUGCUCCAAAGCUGGAUCUAGACCUGCAAAACUGGCACAACUUGUUGGUUGAUAAGGACAACCACUGUGAUGCGGAAGUCAAUAACGGUGGAGGAUGGGAACUGAUUACUGAUUAGAAAGAAGAGAAUUAUACCUGGUGGUUGUUAUCUGAUCCCUAUUUAUAGGCAUGAGUAAAGUUAGGAUAGGACUCUUCAUAGAGAUAGAGCUCUUUGAACAUAGAAGUGUGGUACUGAUGUGCUUGCAAAAGUAUCGACGGUAAAUUAAGUUUUUGAACAUAGUAGCCAUUGGAACAGAGAGGAUUGAGGAAGCACGGUAAGGAACCAAGAGCUAUCCAUAGUUUUCUUAAGAAUCACUUCAAGAGAUAUGAGAUAGGAUGUACCUUUUAUUAAUUUUGUAUAUCUAUAGAACUCGAUGGAAUGGUCACAGUAAGCAAAUCUUUGUUUCCCCCUUUGUACAUGAUAGUCACUGAUCAUGAACUCAGGAUGCAUCAAUUUCUAUUUUAACUGUCCAGUUGUUGGGGAUGUGACAGUGGGUGAUAACCUCUUUGGCGAAGCAUAGUUGUUUAUUAAAGGGUCAUAUGCUUGCUUCUGUCUUCACUGGCAUCAGGAAUGACAUGAGCUUGCCUCUUUUUUCUUUCUUCAUUGGAAUUAUGAAUAUUGUAUCUUCAUAACUUCCACUUAGAAGCCAAGAAUCCACAUUAGAUAGCGUACCUAUAUGUAAUUGAUGGAUAGAAGAUUAUCAUUUUGGAUCCAUAAAAAGAGAGCUUGUACACGUUCCUAAGGGUGAUGAAUUUCUGUUCCAUGAAUGCAACAUCUCUGUGUUGUCCAAAAAUGUUUUGAAGGAGUAUAAUGUUGCAAGGAAGAAAUCAACAUAAUCUAUUCGCAAAACUGCGUAGCCAGGAUAAGACAGAUGAUGUCAGCUCAAAGGGCAAAGCUUUUCUCAACAUAAAGGCAUGAAAAAAGCCCUCAUCUCACCUUCACCCCAUUCUCUUGCUCAGUGCUUGAGAUUAUUUUAUGCUUCCCAAACAUCUUAAUUCCCAGUAGCCUGUCCCAGCCUUCCCAAUCAUUAUUGAAUGUAAAGUUUCUCUCCUGGCCUUCGGUUAGGGAGUAGCAUAGUUACAUAUUGUGGGCUUAAAACAAAUAGUAAGGAUGGUAAUCUGCUGGCUGCACUUCUCUUUUAUUAGGCAGUACGUCCCUCCCCUUUUUUUUGACCUUUGGCUCCUCUUUAACAUAGAAAUCCUUGGAAUAUUUUGAAACUAUAACUUUUGGAUCACAAAGUUUGCUGAAAAAAAAUAUUGAAGUAAUAAACAAGCUUGAUUUUUUUGCAUGCAGCCUGUUGCUUUAUCUGAAAGUUGGCCAAGGUCGAAGGUAAAUGCUUUGGAGUUGAAGCUAUAGGAGAUGCUUCUUUUGCAAUAUAUUGAGUGGACAUUUCUGAAAUUCCCUACAUGGCAGAUACAGUUAAUGAUAUCAAAUUCCAAAUGUCUGCAAUGUCGAGAAAAUUUUGCAUGAUUGGUUCAAUGAUCAUCAAAGACAUUGAAUACCGGAGCUUAUAACUACUUCGUAUUUCCAAACUCACUCUGUUGAUCUCGACAACUGCUUUUAAAUUUGAUUAAUUAUCCAUUUUCUUCAAUCUUAAUUGAUCAUGAUCCUAAGAAUAGAAAAUACGUUUUAUUUAGGGCUGCUAAUGUACGUUAUUCCAGUCAAAUUUCAUGUUUCUUUUAAAAGCAACCAUACAUCAUAUAUGCUACUGGAGGGUUUUUCUCAUCAGUGGUGGUGCUGAUGCAAAUAUCAUAUAAUGCAUGCAUCCAUUAGGACUUAAAACUCUUUCUCACUGCCCUUCACUGGUGUGGAAGUUGGUUCACUUGCUGUUGUCAGCCGCAUGUUCAUCUUAGGUCUUCCUUGUCUCCAGAUACAGAAAUGCUUGAAAAGGCAAAAAGCAAAGGAUAUAUUACUUCUGCUGUAGAUUGAGCCUUUUACUACAAAUUGACAAGAAAGGUCACUAAUACCUAAGCGUGUGAAUUGUAAUACUGAGUCCAGCCUUGGUUUUAGUUAAAUUGAACUGCAGGUUGUUUGCAAGAUUUCAUGCCACUUCAGAGGAGUGCUGUCAUGAAAUUUUGUUUGCUUAACUGUUUGAGCUACUGUUGGCUUGGACCCGUUUGUGUAAAUACUUAACACAUGGAGUCCAAUUGGUUCGUUGUGUAUAAAUGCAUUGAAGGUAGGAAUUAGUGAUUAUCAUAUAGUUGUGCGAGGGAAACUGUUAACAGUUGCCUAUUUGGAAAGCAGUUAGCUCAAUAAUUUAUGCAAUGUGUGCCCUUUUGGAUGGAUAUGACAACAUGAUAAGCUUUAUCCGAUAAGAUAAUGUUGAUUGGUUGAUUGAUUGAUGGAUUAUUUGCCUUUCCCCCUUUAUUUGCUUUUUAGGCAAUUUGGAAAAGAGGCAUUGUAAACUUGCUAGAUUAGCGAGAACAUUAAUUGUUGAAAUAAGGUUGUUGCAUCAUAGCUAUUGUUUCAUGAUGAAAUGUGAAACACAUCCAGGCAAAAAGAGGUUCAACAAUUUGUUUUGGAUUCGUUGAGCUAACGUGCGAUACUGACACCUGAACCUGAUGGCAUCAAAGGAUCUCCCUGACCCCUUUCUGCUACAUGUUCAUUUGUUACCUUGAAAACAGUCUGGCUUAUACCCCAACAUGGCCCUUGUCAUUUAUUGUUUAACAUGUCUAUUUCUGAAUGCUUUCUGAAAAGCAGAUGUGAAUGCAUUCUUUAAAGCAGAUGUGAAUGCAUUCUUUGAAUUAUGAAUAUGUUUACACUGCAUUGCAUUGACAAUCACAUUGUAUUCCUGUAGAAUUUGGGGAUGGUCUUUAUCCAUUCCACCAAUGUAGGGUCCUACCAUGGAAAUUUUACUCUUUUAUUUGGUGGCCCUUAUUUAAGUUUCAAGUGAGGAAUCUGUUUGGUGAUGACCUAGUUUUGUCUUGGCUAUGGAAAUGUCGUUGCAGCUUGUCCACUUGCGGAACGGCUACAUGUGUUUUUCAUUUUUCCUUGAUACCUGGUUUUCCUUUAAAACUAGUUCCAAGCUCUUUUGGAGCACAGAACUGGCCCUGGCCCAGCCAAAACAGGAAAUUAUUUGUGCCUUUAUCGAAAUUAACCAUAUGCCAUUGUAAUAUUCGCUUUGAAAGGUUUUACAGAGAAGGAAUAUUUUAUGUUUGGUGUCGAUAGUAACUUCGUUUUAUGACGGCUUUAGGGCCUUCUCACUAUCAACGAUUAGAAGCUGUGUCGUUGUCUGUAAUACAACAAGGGUAAGUUCUCUUUAAUCAUAUUAGAAAAUUAUGAGUUCAAGAUCAUGGAAAUCUCUAUUAUUGCCUACGAAAAAAUUUUCAUUAUUCCAUGUUUAUAUAUAUUUGAUUGUGGAGGACCCUACACUUUAGUAUACAAAUUUAAUAAUUCACCUUAUGGUUAAAUCACCAAGUAAAAAACCGUGCACGGACUUUGAAUUUUCUUUUCCUUAAAAUGUCUGUUAUAAUUCUCUUUAUUCCAUUAGUGCAUGAUAAUAGAUGAAAAUUUUCUUCCCUAACCUCAGUUACAUAAUUUUGUGUUAAAAAUUAAGACGAUUUGGUUAUUUUAGUUUUGUAAAAUUUAUUCUAUUACAUUUGAGAAUGAAAUGAAACAUCAGGACUAGUAUAUAAUUCUCGCUCGACCCAGGAGUGGAUAGGAAAAAUGCCUGAACUUGUUCACCAUCAUCUGGCUAGCUAAUCCAUAUCCAUAUGAAACUGAGACUUGCAGGAUGGCUAUGUGUGCAUACUUAUGCGAGUGACAAUGCUUAGUUUCAACCAUAUUUAUGUGAGAAAUUAUCAGCGUAAGUUAAAAAUAGUGUAUUUUGCACUUUCAAGGACAUGAAAUUGCAACCUUAUGAACUACGAUAAUCUCUGUGUAUACAUAGGUCCACUGUUCAUCGUGGUGCAGGCUUCCACGUGGGGCGCCCAAAGCUUGCAUAUUGGACCGACACUAGUAGCUGAAGAUUGAAACGUUGGACUAGUCAAGAUGUUCAUUAUGAUUUAGGAGCAAACUGAGGACAAAAGUGAGCUGAUGAGAAAUUAAGAAAGGCUGAUUUAUUUAGGUGAUGAUGAGGGAGUGCAAAUCCAAGAAAAGAGUGAUGCAAACAUCCAGGAAAUAGUCUUCCCUCGUUCCAAAAAGGUUUAGGACCACUGGAAGUCUGGAAGCCAAAUUGAAUUUCUGGUACCGAGGACUCAGAGAGGUUGGUUUGGAUUUAUUAUUAAUAAAUAUAUGAUGGAUUUAGAUAAUCUUUUUUUUUUCCUUUGGUUUGGGUUGGGAUAAAAUUACCCAGUUGAUCAGUACAAUGAUCAUCGGUGGCAGAGACAGAACCUGGGCAGAGAGAUUCAGAGGAGAAAGACUGACAAAAGAUGGAAGAUAGAUAAAUUUUGCAUCAUUUGAAGGACUCUGUCCCAUCUUUCCCUCUUUGUUAUGAUGAUGAAAUUAAAACUCUUUCUGUUUCUCCCUUUAUACGUAUUCUUCUCAGAGUCAUAUGGAUUUUGCUUUGGUUAACAUUGUGCACUCCUGCACGCCCGUGUUUUAGUACCAAUUCACCCACGAAUAAUUUGUUUUAGGGUAAUUCCAAAGACGGACUUGUCGUCUCAUUUUGACUAUUAA